ACCCUACCGGCACAAACUAGAGCACAAGAAGGAGAUCGAUGCACAAGUCAAAGAACUCCUCCACAAGGGUAUUAUCCAAAAAAGCAGCAGCCCUUUUGUUCCUCGGCCAUCCUCGUCAAGAAGAAAGACGGGACGUGGAGGCUCUGUAUUGAUUACAGACACCUUAAUGCCCUCACCUACAUCGCCAAGUACCCCGUGCCGAUCAUCGAGGAGUUGCUGGACAAGUUGCACGGGGCAGCCUGGUUCUCCAAGCUGGAUCUUCGCUCUGGCUACCACCAAAUUCGCUUGGCAGAAGGUGAAGAGUACAAGACGGCCUUCCAGACGCACUCAGGCCACUAUGAAUUCCUGGUGGUCUCCUUCAGUCUAGCGAGCGGACCGACCACAUUCAAUGGUGCCCUGACGACCACUCUCAAACCAGUCGACCGCAAGUGCGUGCUCCUCUUCUUCGAUGUUUAG
rnacentral:rRNA from 1 species